GCUGUGAGCUCAAGAUUUGCAUAGCCUGAACAUUCAUUGAAAUGAGAAUUCCUCCCAAGGAGCAUCUCUGGAAAACACAUAAAAAGGGGCAACGCAAAAUUCUGUUUAGAGGUCUCCAAGCUUUCAGAAGCUGCUCUGAAUAGGAGCUGAGAGUGGCCAGAGCAGAGGAAUCUCCUGUCUGCAUGGAGCUGCCAAGUCCUCACCCUUCCUGCUAGCCUGUGACUCUGUCCAUCUGAUUCAGCUAAGAGUAGAAUGGCAAAUAAGGGGAAGUGCUUCCAGACACAAGCUAAUCAGCCAUAUACUCUGAAG